UACGUAGGGUGCAAGCGUUGUCCGGAAUUAUUGGGCGUAAAGAGCUCGUAGGCGGCUUGUCGCGUCGGCUGUGAAAACCUGGGGCUCAACCCCGGGCCUGCAGCCGAUACGGGCAGGCUAGAGUUCGGUAGGGGAGACUGGAAUUCCUGGUGUAGCGGUGAAAUGCGCAGAUAUCAGGAGGAACACCGAUGGCGAAGGCAGGUCUCUGGGCCGAUACUGACGCUGAGGAGCGAAAGCGUGGGGAGCGAACAGG
rnacentral:rRNA from 1 species